rnacentral:misc_RNA from 1 species
GAUGAAGAACGCAGCGAAAUGCGAUAAGUAAUCUGAAUUGCAGAAUUCAGUGAAUCAUCGAAUCUUUGAACGCACAUUGCGCCCGCCAGUAUUCUGGCGGGCAUGCCUGUUCGAGCGUCAUUUCAACCCUCAAGACCCCUUCGGGGGACUUGGUGUUGGGGACCGGCAUAGGGGCCUUGCGCCCCUCGCCGCCCCCGAAAUGAAUUGGCGGCCUCGUCGCGGCCUCCCCUGCGUAGUAGCACAACCUCGCAACGGGAACGUGACGGCGGCCACUGCCGUAAAACAACCCAAUUUUAUUAGAGUUGACCUCGAAUCAGGUAGGAAUACCCGCUGAACUUAAGCAUAUCAAUAAGCGGAGGA